UUCCAUCGUCCGUGAGGCGAGUUGUGUGUUCUUUUAUCGCGUUCUAAAACCACCUUUUAUACUGUUGUGUUUCUUUUGUGUGUGAAUGGAUUUCGACUGGCUGACAAGAGAUGCUUACUGGAUUCUGAGCCUCUCUCUCAUUUUGCCAAUUUGUGUGUGAUUUCCGCAGUGUUUUCCCGGAAACCACGAGGGGGUGGAAAAUCGAUAAUGCUCAGAUGUUGAGGGCAGCAAAUCGCGUUGGCCUCGUGUGUUUCCUGUGAAGUGAAUUUGUUUUCUUCAGUGAUUUCGUUCCGUUUCCUCUGCAUUUUUUCACACCGCCCGCGUGACAGGAGCGCCCCCGUGAUUUCACAGCCAGAUUUGUGUGAGCUUUCUUCUGUGUCAGUGCUGGCAGGAGUAAAAUAUUGAAGUGGAUUCCAUCACGUAUCAUCGGGCAAAAUGUCUGAUAAUGAUAAGGAUAAGGACUCAUCCGUCCGGGUGGCUGUUAGAAUCCGCCCCCAAAUCCCCCGAGAACUCAUCGAUAUGUGUCGUGUUUGUACUCAGGUGACACCGAAUGAACCUCAAGUGCUCCUUGGCACUGACAAGGCCUUCACAUAUGACUUCGUGUUCGACAUGAAUGCAACACAAGCCGAGAUAUACGACAAGUGUGUGGAAAAGCUAAUUGAAGGAGCACUCAGGGGCUACAAUGCAACAGUUUUGGCUUAUGGACAGACUGGCUCGGGGAAGACGUAUACGAUGGGCACGGGAUUCGACAGGGAGAUUCUGGAGAUGCAAGAGGGCAUCAUACCGAGGGCUGUGAGACAUUUAUUCAGUGGUAUUGAGGAUGUGCAGACACGCGGUGAGGACAGCAAUGGUGUUGUUGUGGGAACAGUUCAAUUCAGUGUUGCGGCACAAUUUAUGGAAUUGUACAAUGAGGAGAUUAUCGAUCUCCUUGAUCCCUAUAACAAGGGGAAGGCGUACAAAAUUCAUGAGGAUCCGAGUGGUGGAAUUUCUGUUUCGGGUGCGACUAUUAAGCCAAUUGCAGGGCCACAAGAUGCUCUCAGAUGCUUACAGCAGGGCGCUUUGGCAAGAACAACAGCUUCCACUCAGAUGAAUGCGCAAUCUUCGCGAAGCCACGCACUGUUUACCAUCCUGAUUCGACGGCAGCGCGUGAUGAGUGCCGAGGAGAGUGGAAUGCCUGACGGGGAUUUGGAGACUCUCACGUCCAAGUUUCACUUUGUUGAUCUCGCUGGAUCUGAGCGAUUGAAGCGAACUGGGGCGACAGGAGAGAGAGCCCGUGAGGGUAUCUCAAUCAACUGUGGUCUCUUGUCACUGGGAAAUGUCAUCUCGGCGCUUGGAGACAAGUCCAAAAAGGCCUCUCAUGUUCCCUACAGAGAUUCCAAACUCACCCGAUUGCUACAAGAUUCGCUGGGAGGAAAUAGUCAGACGGUGAUGAUUGCAUGCGUGUCUCCGAGUGAUCGUGACUUCAUGGAAACCCUCAACACGUUGAAAUACGCGAAUCGUGCGAGAAAUAUCAAGAAUCGCGUACAGAUCAAUCAAGAUCAGAGUUCGAGGACCAUUUCACAGUUGCGCAGAGAAAUUGCGGCACUGCAGCUGGAACUGUUGGAGUACAAGCAGGGCAAGAGGAGUGUGGAUGCUGAGGGCAAUCCAGCCGUUUCGGACACAUUCCAUGAGAAUGCCAUGCUGUUGCAGGACAAUAAGAGACUUCAGCAGCGUCUCAAGGCAAUGCAAGAGUCUGUGAAUGCGCUGACAGAGAGAAAUGCGGAGUUGCUGUCAGAGAAGGCGAUUGCUGGAUGGGGAGCGAUUGGGGAUUCGGAUAAGUCGAUGAGUGAAAUGGUGGCUGGAUACUUGAAGGAGAUUGAGAAGCUGAAGGCGAAGCUUAUUGAGUCGGACCAGAUGUAUCAGCAGUUGAAGAAGACCACUAACACGCCGAGAGGUUUCAAUAAGAAUCAGUUCUUUGGCGGUGAAGAUGCCGAUGGUGUCUUGACGCUGGCCAAGAGGGAAAUCGAGAAGGAGCGAGAACUUCUUAUGUCCAGAUCUCUGCCCGGACUCGAUGAUACCAACAAUCAAAAUGUGGAGAACGAGUCUGAUAGUGAUUCUGACACGGAGUCUGAUGAUAAAACUGGUGAGAUGCAAGCUGAACUCAAUGAUAUCAGUUCGGACAUUGAGUUGAAGACGAAGUUGAUUGAACAAUUGGAGCUCUCUCAAUUACGAAUGCGUCGCAUGCAAGAGCACUAUGAGGAGAAGCUGAAUGUCCUGACCGCCAAGAUUACGGAUACACAGCGAGAGAGGGACAAAGUGUUGGCCAACAUGGGUGCGAUUAAUCCCAGUGGACCGCCCAGUGACAAGGUGCGGAAGGUGCGAGAUGAAUAUGAGAGAAAGCUGGGUGAUAUGCAGCGAGAAUUGAGGAAACUCCAGGCGGCACAGAGGGAGCACAAGAGGCAGCAGCGCGAGUUGCAGAUGCAAGAGGCGCAGCUGAAGAGCCUGAGGAGUGAGCUGUCGGACUUGAAGAGCAACAAGAUCAAGUUGAUCCGGCGAAUGAACGAAGAGGUGAAGAGGCACAAUGAAGAGGAGACUAGGAAGUCGCGCGAGAUUGCUCAGUUGCGAAAGGAGGCGCGAAAGCAUCAGAACACCAUCAAGAGUCUGCAGGCUCAGGGUGCGGCCAAGGAUCAGGUGUUGAAGAGGAAGACUGAGCAGGUGUCUGCCCUGAGACGCGUCCAGCGGACACCGCUCAGCGCUAAAGCGUCCGGAAGGGUGAAUGGCAGGAAACACUUGGAGGAGUUUAAUGUGAGACAGGCGCGUGCCAAGUGGGAGACACUGCAGAGGACCAUCUCGCGGGCUGCUCGCAGUCGUCAGGCUGUCGUGGAGCUUGAGAGGGAGUUGGAGCGUCUGCUGAAUGACAGGGACAUUCUCAGUCAUGAUCUAACGAAUGUGAAGAGGCGCCAAAAGAUGCAUCCAACCAGCGAAUUGGCCUCCGAAGAGGAUGACAUUACAUCGAAUUUGAACUAUAUUCAGGAAAAUAUUACACAAGUGCAGCAUGCCAUAAUGGAGCUGGAGGAGGGCAAGGAGUCGGCUACUGAGGCGCUGUCCAUGCAGAACAUCCUUGAGAGUGUGCACUCGGUGGAGGAGGCGAUUUUCUUCAUGGAACGCCUCUGCGGGGCUGCCAUUUCUCAAACGUGUGAUGUUGCCAUUACGGAGAUGCGUCUCAAGGAGCGGGAGGCCUUGUUGAAUGAGGUGCAGCAGGACAGUUCCAUCCAGCAACAACUUCUUCAGCAUGUCCUCUCACAGACACCCGUCAGUUUCCCCGAAAGCUAUGCCGGAAGUUGCUCCAAUGCUGGCCGCCAAUCGCCCACAAACUCCAUCAGCAGCACCAGCACCUUCGACAUUCCGCCCAGUGCGUCCAUUCUGCAUACGGAAUUUUCUCGAGACGCCAACAAUGGCUUCAGCCCUUCGAGUAGCAGAAGUCCAUCACCAGGAUUUGAUACCGAUAGCACCAGGAGUUCAAUGAGAAUGACUAAAGUCAGACGAUUAAAGGCACAACCUCAGGAAUUACUAUUUGGAAGUUCCAAUGAAAAGGACGAUAGCAUGACGAGAUCUUAUCAUCUGCAGCAGGAAAGUGGGCGAAGUUUCAUACCAAUUUCCCGUGUGCCAAGUGCUCCAGGUUCACUAAAAGGCCUCCAGCCAAAUCCAGCCCCACAGUCACUGAGACCACCCAAUUCGCCGCUCUUCCCACGGAAAUCCUUUGACACUGCAACACCCCUGUCGCCAAGGCUUACGAGGCGUCCCUUUCCCAACAAGGCAUCGCCAGGAUUAGAAGAUAGCGAUGCGCUGCCGCCGCAAUCGCCGCCCGUCUAUCGACGCAUGGGCUCACGCGAGGACGCCAGCAGUGAUGUCUUUUCGCGCUUGGGAGCUGGAAAUCAGGACCCACCGACCGGUGGCAGCAUCCGUGAAUUUAACGGGAAGCCAAGAGCCAAUGUUCCAUUGCAUUGCACCCAUGUGGUGGAGGGCCACUCCAAUUCGGUGCUCUCUGUGAGGGUGUUCGACGCGACGCUGUUCACCGCGGCCGCUGAUCGCACUGUGAAGGUGUGGGACAUGACCACGGGGACGUCAUCGCACUGCCUGUCGGCACAUCCGGGGCCGGUAAUUGCUGUGGAGUACGACAGCAAGAGGAAUCUCCUCUUUUCGGCUUCGGGCGGCUUCAUUCGUGCAUGGGAUUUGCGGAUGAGCACAGCGCGACCGGUGAAGACGCUCUGCUCCUCUGGUUCUACACUCUCUGGCUUGGCAGCGCUGAAUCCGCAGGGCGAGAGUCCCAUCACCGCUCUGUGCAUGGGGGCUUCGGGCUCUCUGUAUACAGCGGCAUCGGACAAGGUGCGAAUCUGGGACGUGCGCCAGUUCGGGUGCACGGGCAAGUUGUCUGGGGGACAUCAGGCAGCCGUGAUGUGUGUCACUGCGUGGAGUGGGCCAAACAACACAGACUUCCUGGCCACGGGGUCAAAGGAUCACUAUGUGAAGGUGUUCGAGGUGUCAUCAUCCUCUGGCGUCGUUCUGCCGCUGCUCCACCUCGAGCCGCCGCACUACGACGGUGUGCAGGCGCUCACUGUGGCGAAUGAUGGGAUUGGGGUGGAUGCUGAGCUGUUUUCCGGAAGCCGAGACACGGGCAUAAAGCGGUGGGACUUGAGGACUGGAGAGCUGAAGCAGUCGCUGAAUAAUGCACACAAGGGCUGGGUCUCUGGCAUGGCAAUCUGCGGCGAUGUCCUCUUGUCCAGCUGUCGCGGUGGCAUCGUGCGCCUGUGGAGUGUCCGGACGUGUGAUUCACUGGCGGAAAUGAAGACAGAUUCGCCCAUUAAUGAUAUCGUUGUGGCCGAUCAGCGCAUUUACACAGCAUCCAAGUCAUGGGCACGUUUUCUAAUUUGGAUCACAUUCACAAUUUGGCUUAUGAAAGCAAUUGGUCUCUUUGUGUGUCCACGAUGUCAGUGCUGUAAUACAAAUUGUUCAUAAUAAUGAUCAAAGAGAGUAGAGUGGAGAAGAGAUGACGAUGAUGAGUAAGGAAUAAAUUGCGUGCUGUGUCAACGGUGGGAGAUAGAAAAUUUUUUUUAUACAUACACUUGUAAGCUUUGCAAUAUUUUGCAAGCUCCCACUGAGCUUUUGCACGUGCAUUGACGAGUGUAGAGACGAGAGAGCGAGCGAUAAUUGAAAAAGAUGACACCAAAUUCACAAAAUUGUUUAGUACAGACGAUACACACAGAAUAAAAAGAGAUCAACGAAGCAAGAGAGCGCCUUAUGUAGAGUGGUGAGAGGAAAAGUGACUAAAAAAAAACGAGGUUGACGGAAAAGUCCGUCUGUGGCGCCUCACGUCCACGGCAAAGCGUUUUCGGUCGGAGAAUGUCAGAUGACAGCAAAUGUCCAGGCAACCGCAGCCGCUCUUGCGUCAGAACAGCCUAAAAUUGUCGGGAGGAACGCCACAGCAGGACUCCAGGAGGAAAAUACCGGUGAGGCCUAAAAUAAUGUCAAGUCAAAAUGCAGGAAAUCACUACAAGAUGAGCAAUUACGCUAGUUUUAAAAUAUUGCCUUCAUAGUCAGGAGAAUGAGAGUUUCCGAGAAACGAGCUAAUUUCGUAGAAUACUUUAAUUGAGUGUAGAAGUUAGUAAUUUAGUGUAGUAAUAUAUUUACCAUGUCAAAAUAAUAUAUGUGAAUCAUUUUAACGAGUCGAGUGGUGGAGAUGCAGUGGAAAAAAGGGUUGAGCUCAAAAAAAAUGCAACAGAAAAUGUGCAAUUUCACUUUGGUGAUGAUAAAAGAGUUCUUUUUGUGGCAAAAUGUAGAGUUUAAAAUUAGCCAAUUUUUUUGUAAAGUCAGUGGCAAUUAAUUAAUAGAAAAUAAAAUAUAAUGAAAACUUUGAGCAUUUCUCUUCAUCUAUGAAAGUGGGUGAAUUUUAAAUUAAAAUUAUAUUUUUGAUGGAAAAAAGCAUUGAGCGGUUUUUGCCUGCAAAAAAAGGGGUGAAAAAGGAGCGAAUGAGGAAGUUGUGUUAAAUUUUCCAUCGACAUUUAUGCAAAAAAAAAAUCUCUAAUUCACAGUGAAAGUUUGCAAGAACAAUGCCAAAAUACUCAAAAUGUGCACAUGUUUUGAUUCAUGUUUAUACAUUUUAUUACCAUACAAUUUUAAUAAUAUAUAAUGACCCUUUCGCCUGUGGUAUUUGUGCGGUGGAUUUAUUUGUGAAUGAGUCAAAGUUGAGAGAAGGUGAAAUUAAUGCCGGGGUGAAAAAGUGUUGCAGAAACUUUUCCACCUAAUUGUUACUAAUUAUUUUCUCACGAAUACCAUUUUGAAGAAUUAUUCUAUCCCGACGUGGGUAAUAAUUUUUUUUAAAUUUCACUUUAAUUGCCAUGGAAUUUCACUGCAGAUAAAUUGGCUCAGAGCAAUAAAUUCCCGUGACGAAUUGUAAAUUGGAAUAAUGAAUUAGCCGCUAUUGAGCUGGUUUGUGAGAAAACUUGAAUUUGGUGGGCCCAAAAAUGUGUCUGAGACAAUAUGAGAGUGUAUAUUAAAAUGUUUUAUCA